rnacentral:rRNA from 1 species
AUUGAACGCUGGCGGCAGGCUUAACACAUGCAAGUCGAGCGCGCGGCGGGCGGGUGAGUAACGUAUGGGAAACUGCCUGAUGGAGGGGGAUAACUACUGGAAACGGUAGCUAAUACCGCAUACCAUACGAUAUGCCCAGAAGGGCUUAGCUAGUAGGUGGGGUAAUUGCUCACCGAGGCGACGAUCCCUAGCUGGUCUGAGAGGAUGACCAGCCACACUGGAACGUAGACACGGUCCAGACUCCUACGGGAGGCAGCAGUGGGGAAUAUUCCACAAUGGGCGCAAGCCUGAUGCAGCCAUGCCGCGUGUGUGAAGAAGGCCUUCGGGUUGUAAAGCACUUUCAGCGAGGAGGCGUUACUCGCAGAAGAAGCACCGGCUAACUCCGUGCCAGCAGCCGCGGUAAUAC